GUUAAUCAAGCAGCACAUACACUAAAACUGGAGAGAUACUGACAAAAUUAGCAUGACCCCUGACGCAAGUAUGACAUACAAAAUUGUGAAAGUGCUCCUCUUUGU
ensembl:snRNA U6 U6 spliceosomal RNA